GCCUCCCCCAGAUGUGUGCACUGUUGUGUGUGUUCAAAUGUAAUUGUUGCGUGUGCAUGGUCGUUGAUUGUUCUUUCCGCGUCUUAGCUCGAGGAAAGGUGCCUCUACCUUUUUUUUACCUCCGCUUAUAAUACCCUAUCCUCUUUCCGGUUCUCCUCCUCUCUCACUCUAUCUCUCUCCUCUCUCGCCUCCCCUAUUUGCCUGUUCUCCCUUUUCGACUCUUGUUUAGGUUCGGUUGGUUGGUUAGGUUUAUAGGUAUCUGGUGUUAGAGGUAACCUGGUGUCGAGAGGAAGGGGUUGGUUUUGAUUCUUCUCUUUGGGGACGUUGAGACGUUCUUGUGGUGGUAGGGUGGAGGGUCGCUCUUUUAGAAAAACAUGCUUUUUUCCCCCACCAGUCUAAAUGAGGUGUAGUGAGGGGUACGUGGCCGGGACUCCUUUCGCAAGGUCAGCUCAGAGGUAAGAAGGUGCUAAGGUCCUUUGGCAGCGGCUAGAUUCGUUUAGAACAAGUGGUCUCGCGGUUGUUCAACAACGGAGAACCGAAGUACUGUCGAGGAACUGGACGACGACGACGACGAGCAAUAGGUCGAAAAAGGAACCCAUUAAUCGAUGGACGAGCAGCAGCAGCAGCAGCGGCGUCUUUCCGGAACCACGGAUCAGUACAGCCGCAGCGGCAGCUACUCGCCGCCACGGCCCCUCGCCUGCGCCUGCGCCUGCCACCACACCAAGUCCGCCCUGGACGCGCACCUCCUGUUGGGCCGGGAUCGCCGCCGCCGCGCUUGUCGGCCCCUCCACCACGGCCGCAUGCACACCCGCGGCCUCCUCCUGCCCGGCAUGAUGGGACCCGCCCACAGGGCCACCACCGAGUCGGUCUCGGAGUUCGUGGACCUGCGGAGCGACGCGGCCGAGCCGCGGUGGGUAGAGAAGAAGUUGGUGGAGAUGCCAAGCUAAGGAGGAUGUAGAGAGUGAGAAUAAGGAAACACCAGUAAAUAAAUAAAAGAUGACAGGAUCCUCAUGAACCAAUUCUAAAGAAGAGAAGAGACAAUAUGAGGAUAUAUUCUUCUUUUUUUUCUAUUUCUAUUUCCUAAAGACAAAAUGCCAAACGAGGCGAGGCCGAGUUGAUCUAGGUGAGAAUGUGCUAGGUUAUCUUUUACCUCCCCUCCCCUCCCCUCCCCUCCUUAGAAACGUAGUUGUCAUGGUAGGGAGGACACACUACACACACGGUUAGUUAGUAUAAGUACCCAUAAAGUAAAGUACGAUCGAAUUGGACAUGAGGUGUGCAGUUUGUUGAGGUUCAAAUCGUAGUUUGUGAUGAGGGACUUGUGAGUCAGAAAUUAAGGGUUUUCAAGAACAUGGGUGGUUGGAUCAUCAUCAUAAAUAAUGAUGAUCAUCAGGCCAAAUUAAUUUUGAAUGAAAAAAAUCCCCUAAAAUUAAUUUUGAAUGAUCAUGAUAUUGUUCAUCAUCAACAAAAGGAAAAACUAUUGUUCGUGGAAUAGCACAUUCGACUGUGUUUGUUUACCGGUACACAACGAGUGGUUAGCGACAGACGAGACGACGGGCGGCACAUCUGGGCGACAGCGACCAGGCCCUGGUGGCCCACUUCGUUCACGACCCCCGGCUCCCGUAGUGGCACGUCAGGAAGUUGAGGCUGGACGAGAUGCUCGGUACCCUCCAGGAGCUGCUGGUGCCGACGGGGAAGUGGUACAAGUGCGGGAAGACCUUGUUCACGGAGACAUACCAGCUGGGGGGGCGCGGGUACGACGGUGGGUUCUCCUAGUUAAGUCCACUGAACAGCUCCACGACGAGUAGCCUGGUAGAGUAGAAGCUUCUGCUCAGCCUCUCCCCCUCGUUGCGCGACGAGCGUGCCCGCACCAGCGGCCCCACCGUCUUGCGGCUGUUCCGAAAGUGGCGGAAGUAGUUGCCGGGCGAGUAGCUGAUGAGGCACUUGGCGUUCUUCCGGCUGUCACGUUUGUGGAGUGACGAGAGAGGGAUGGACGUGAAACCGCUCGAGUCGCAGGCGUUCCAGAAGGUAGUCCAUGCCUACUUCGUCGAUUGCACCUCGUUGCUCUCGUUGGCGCUGCCGCUCCUCCCGACGUCGGAGAAGGAGGCGAGGUAGCCGGACGCUCUCAUGAGGUCCAUGGAGCGGAAGUUGGUGGGGACGUCGGUGCUCUUCGGGGAGAACCGAGUAGAGUCCAAGAAGGGGACCCACCAGUUACUCCAGAUGAAGUUCCAGACCUCCGUCCCAUCCUGGCCGAUGGGAGAACAGCUGCGGCCGUACUCCCUCGAAACCCGGUGGCCGACCGACGUACUGGCGUAUGCACAGCAGCAGAGUUCGAAGAAGCAGUUCCAAGAGGUCGACGGUACCGCGACCCCCUACUUCAUGAAGACCCUGUGGAACGACCUGCGGCUGGAACUCUCGCUGCGCAACCCGACCGUCAUGUAGAGGCCCAGAGACGGACUACCGGCACUCGAGCUGGCGUAACUGUUGGGCGUCAAACUUCCGAUGUUCAAGCUGGGUAUGCCCCUCAUGCAGGCCGCUACCGACGGCCUCGACCGCUCCGAUGGUUGCCUUACCUAUGUGGUGGGGACCCUACGUGGGCUCAGACACGACGUCCGACGUCCUUAACUCGAUCCAAGGUUAAUGGGAGAGGGGUAACAACUCGAUCUACUUCGGUUUAGGUCUAACGUCCUGCGGGACAGUCUCUACACCCUCGAACUCCGUCGGAGAGCACGACUCUAUCUCUUACCUUACCUCCUUCCGGACCCUCUGAGGAGUCUGCUCGGCGGGUAACGGAAGGGGGUUCUCGACGUCGUAUACCUUCACCUGGACCUGGCACGGUGAUAGGUGUGUGGUCGCUGCCGACCGGCCUCUGCUCGUCUAGUCUACCACGGAUCGUAGUGGAGAAGGAACCAGUCUCGACUUUGUCUUUGUCUUGAAAGGCGUCGAAAACUUUCGGUUCACUGAUCCGGCCUCCACGGUAGUGUCCACGUAAAGGUCGGAGUCUGAGCCUGCCUUUAGUCCCUACUUCAACGGUCGAUGCCGUGACGACGGUCUAUGUUGCCGCAGGUCGUCGUCGUCGUCGUCAUAUGGGAUGUGGUAGUGGCACACGUCCCGCCGUAUCGUGGUAGGUGAAGUCUCCGUAGUUCGUCGACCUGACCCUCUCUUCCACCCCAUCAUGGGCAAACCAGCGGAGGCCGACGCAGUCCGGUAAGUCUAGGGAUGCGACGCCUACUUUGACUGUAAAGGUCAUCCUCAAUAAACCUGUCCGUGGGCGUCGUCAGUGUAUCCAACUACUUAACCUUAGUCGAGAGGGUCAGUAGCACUGGAGUCUACGUACGACCUACUCUGUUGUCGCCCGACGGUUCACCUUUUGAAAACGGGUCUACGUACUUGCUUAAAUUAACACAUCCCUCAACCUCUCACUGCAUACAUGUAAUAUAACGGAAGACAAGUGGAUAUCGGAACCAUACGUCCUUCUUGGUUCACUACGUCGAAGUAAGUACCCACGUUAUUCAAUACAUUUUGAUCUGAAGAUCUUGAAGACACCAUUAUCAUAUCCAACGAUCAACAGUUUUCCUAGACGUGGCAAAUAUAGUCUAUUUCCAAAACAGACAUUACCAUGUAAUGGAAACCAAGAACGGUAGAAACGGCUGGUUCUUCAGUGGUGUAUCGAACUGAGCCUUGGUUUGAAAACCUUCUCACAUAUGACUAUCUUUACUAUGCUGCUAGACU
rnacentral:rRNA from 1 species